CUGCGAACACUCCAGCAAAAAAGGCAGAUGUCUCGUCCUUCAUAGUCCCUCUUAGAAGUUGCCAGGGGUCAGUCCUGUUCUUUGUUGGUCAAAGCCUGCCUGGGUUUUAAGAGAAGGAUGAGAACUCUACUUCUUGGGGAGAGGCAAGCCAAAGAUUUUGCAGCCAUUUCUCACACCACCACAGGCCCUGAAGCAGCGUCAACCAGGGUGAGUUUGAGGAGCCAGAGGAGGCCACUGCCACUCUGUGAGGGCCCUGCUGGGAGACUGGCAGGGAGAAGGUGUUAGGCUUGGGCCAGACCAUAUUGAUGGCAUGGAAGACCAAGUCAGAGCUGUGCAGGGCUUUUGGAGAAAUGGCCCUCUUGUUUGCCUCCCCCGAUCUGGGAAAUGACCCAGAACAUGCAGCGGAGCUGGCUGGAGGGGGUCUGGGCCUCUCUUGCCCCAUAUCAGGCUCACAGCCCCCAUAAAAAUUCCUAGGUGAGGGAAUGACCUCAGGUUUUACCAAGUCUCUAUGGUGAAUGGAUGGCCAGCUGGGUGUGAGGAGCUGACCUCAUGGCCUGGCCUGUCUGAUAGGGACCCUCUCCCUGGGCGCUGGGGAUGAGAAUUUCAGGUGGCUGAGGAGCAGGGACCUGAGUAGAGGGAGCUGUGGGUGGACAGAGGCCAAGGUGGGGCUGGAGCAUCCCUGCUCCCUCACUUCACAGGUGAGACCGAACCUGGCACCUCUGGGCACCCCACAGGAAGGUGGCCUGAGGUGCAGCUGUGAAGAGCCUCAAGGCAGUGCCUGCAGGGGCGGCGGCCAGCCAGGGGAGGGUGGUGAGGGAGCUGCCCCCUGCUUGCCCCUGGCAGGCUAGAGUUCUGGGCUCUCCACCUCCUGACGCCGCUUCUCACUGCCCUCCAGAUUUGGUCCUCCUGGUAGGAAUGAGGUGGCAUCUCCUUGUCCCUGAUGAGUGCUUUCCUGAUGGCACACGACGUCCAGCUCCUCUUUUGUGCUGUUGGCCAUAUGUGUCUUUCUGGAGGAAUGUCUGUCAGGUUCCUGGCCCACGCUUUCACGGGGUUGACGUUCUCCCUCGGAGGUCUCCUCUGCCGGGCGGCCCCGCCCUCCUGAGCUGCUGCUUUGCUGGUGGAUGCUCUGCCCUGGGCCCCAGCCGGCUUGCCUUUCUCUGGCCCCUUUUCCCCCUCCCUUCCUCCUGUCUUGCCUGCCUCACAGCUUGGAAUCCCUCUUGGGUACUCAGAUUCUACUGGUGGCCCUCCAACGGCACCCUCUUGUCUCCUGGCUGGCCUGUCCACCGGGACCUCUCAGUCAGAGGCCUCCAUUCUCACAGGCCAUCAACUGGUCCAUCCUCUCUCCUCUUGAGAAAUCCUGCCUGACCACUUCUCACCCCCU
rnacentral:lncRNA from 1 species